CCUACGGGUGGCAGCAGUGGGGAAUAUUGGACAAUGGGGGGAACCCUGAUCCAGCCAUGCCGCGUGUGUGAAGAAGGCCCUCGGGUUGUAAAGCACUUUCAGUGAGGAAGAACGCCUGGUGGUUAAUACCCAUCAGGAAAGACAUCACUCACAGAAGAAGCACCGGCUAACUCCGUGCCAGCAGCCGCGGUAAUACGGAGGGUGCGAGCGUUAAUCGGAAUUACUGGGCGUAAAGCGCGCGUAGGUGGCUUGAUAAGCCGGUUGUGUAAGCCCCGGGCUCAACCUGGGAACGGCAUCCGGAACUGUCAAGCUAGAGUGCAGGAGAGGAAGGUAGAAUUCCCGGUGUAGCGGUGAAAUGCGUAGAGAUCGGGAGGAAUACCAGUGGCGAAGGCGGCCUUCUGGACUGACACUGACACUGAGGUGCGAAAGCGUGGGUAGCAAACAGGAUUAGAUACCCGAGUAGUC
rnacentral:rRNA from 1 species